UCCUGAAUCUACUUCCUAAAUCAUUGCAACAAACAUUUAAAUUAAUAGCAUUAAAUUAGGAGAAUAUCAUGCUAUUUUAAAACAUUUAAGAAGAUUGUUCACAAGAACCUUCAAUCUUGCCUAUGUUUCCUCCUCUCCAUUCUUAAUUCAUACCCAAAUCUCCCAAAACAGGGUUUUAAUGAGUUUAGACAACCUGUAUGACUCCUCAUCAGUUCAAUUGCGAAAUCGUGUGCAUAAUGGUCUUUUGCUUGGAGAUUCAAUGCUGCUAAAAAGAACUUCUAGAGAUGUCACGCACAUGAGAUAUCGUUGGUAAUGGCCUUCUCUACUCUAUAUGAUAUGGGAAUCUUAAAAAGACCAAAAUGCCCUCAUUAUAUAUGUUUAAUGGCAUUUUAUUUGUUUUUAUAUUCACCAGAUUUGAACUUUCACAAACUUUGUUGAUUAACAAACAUUAAAAAAAAUGAAAAAAAUAUCAUUCUACUUUUA